rnacentral:misc_RNA from 1 species
UAUCGAGGAGGUAGAAACCAAUGGGGAAGAUACUUUUCCGACAUACCGAACAGCGGCGGAAGAGACCAGCAAGUUGUGACCGGAGACUCGCACUUCCAGUCAGUUCGGGAAGCCAAUUUAGGUAUCCGUCAAGCCGGAGGUGGAAGUAUCAAUCCACGACCGCGACCUUACAAUCAAAGCCAGCGGCUUCCUCGACCUCCGCGUUACAAUCCAAAUCAACACUUUCGACAAUCUCCACCAUUCGUUCAGAAUCAGAAUCAUCAGUUCCGUCAAGCUUCGCCGUUUCAUCCGAAUCAACCUUUUCGACCACCUCAACAGUUCCGGGCGCGCCCACCGAAGCCCUUGGAUUAUCGAGAUUGGGAGUAUGCAAAAACGGCACCGCCUCCUAAUUCUGGUAAUAUACCAUUUUGACUUUUAUAUGGAUGUAUGUACUUUAUGGAGAAUUGGAGAUUUUUGUGAUGGAAAUGUUUUAUCUUUGUUGAAGAUGUAUAUGGGAUUUUGCUUACAAAGCACCUUUUCUUCUGAUACUAAGCAUGACUGUUGGUUUAAUCCUUUUUUGGUUUGUUGGUAUGGUUUGCAGAGAAGUUUAUUGUUCUUUCCUAUAAUAUACUGGCUGACUAUCUUGCUAUUAACCAUCGGAGCAAACUUUACUUUCACAUUCCUCGCCAUAUGUUAGACUGGGAGUGGAGAAAAAGAAAUAUACUUUUUGAGCUUGACUUAUGGUCAGCUGAUAUAUUGUGCUUUCAGGAGGUUGAUAAAUUUCAGGAUUUAGAAGAACAGUUGAAGAUACGGGGAUACAGUGGCAUUUGGAAGAUGCGAACUGGCAAUGCGGUUG